rnacentral:rRNA from 1 species
GAACCUUACCAUCCUUUGACAUGGCGUGUUACGUGGAGAGAUUCACGGUCCCCUUCGGGGGCGCGCACACAGGUGCUGCAUGGCUGUCGUCAGCUCGUGUCGUGAGAUGUUGGGUUAAGUCCCGCAACGAGCGCAACCCACGUCCUUAGUUGCCAUCAUUGAGUUGGGCACUCUAGGGAGACUGCCGGUGAUAAGCCGCGAGGAAGGUGUGGAUGACGUCAAGUCCUCAUGGCCCUUACGGGAUGGGCUACACACGUGCUACAAUGGCGGUGACAGUGGGAUGCGAAGGGGCGACCUGGAGCAAAUCCCCAAAAGCCGUCUCAGUUCGGAUUGCACUCUGCAACUCGAGUGCAUGAAGGCGGAAUCGCUAGUAAUCGUGGAUCAGCAUGCCACGGUGAUACGGUCCCGGGGCUUGUACACACCGUCAUCCAGGCGAUUCGU